rnacentral:rRNA from 1 species
UACGUAGGGUGCAAGCGUUGUCCGGAAUUAUUGGGCGUAAAGAGUGUGUAGGCGGUUUGGUAGGUCCGCUGUGAAAACUCGAGGCUCAACUUCGAGACGCCGGUGGAAACCAUCAGACUAGAGUCCGGAAGAGGAGAGUGGAAUUCCUGGUGUAGCGGUGAAAUGCGCAGAUAUCAGGAAGAACACCCGUGGCUAAGGCGGCUCUCUAGUACGGUACUGACGCUGAGACGCGAAAGCGUGGGGAGCGAACAGG